UAUUGGGAAAUUGAACUGCAAAUCAAGGAAAUGCAAGAGAAGGUUUGUAAUUUGCAAGAUGAAUUUGGUGCAGGCAUUGUCAUUGAAGACGAGGAAGCUCGGACGCUGAUGGCGUCGGCAGCCCUGAAAUCAUGCCAAGAGACAUUGGCUCAAUUGCAGGAGAAACAAGAGAGAUCUGCAGCAGAAGCAGUAGAAGAGCGCAAGAGAAUUACCAAUGCCCGGGAGAAGUUGAAGUCUCUCAAGGAUGAGUUUUUGCAUGGCGAGAUCAAUCCAGAAAAUCCUCGAGCCAAAGAUGAACCUAUAAAAGCAGUGGAAGGAUUGGAAAGCAUACACCAACAAGUGAGCGGUACAACAGAAGAGAAACAGGAUAUAGAGUUGUUGCGUGAGAAGAUUAAGGAAAACCUCGAUGUUGGGUCUAAUGCAAGUGUCACUGCAGCAGAACUUGUUGAGAAGAUCGAUGAACUUGUAAACAAGAUCAUUAACUUAGAAGCUUCAGUUUCAUCACAGACAGCUCUUAUACAGAGGU
rnacentral:lncRNA from 1 species